rnacentral:rRNA from 1 species
UACGGGGGGGGCAAGCGUUGUUCGGAAUUACUGGGCGUAAAGCGUGCGCAGGCGGUUUUGUAAGACAGGCGUGAAAUCCCCGGGCUUAACCUGGGAACUGCGUUUGUGACUGCAAGGCUAGAGUACGGCAGAGGGGGGUGGAAUUCCACGUGUAGCAGUGAAAUGCGUAGAGAUGUGGAGGAACACCAAUGGCGAAGGCAGCCCCCUGGGUCGAUACUGACGCUCAUGCACGAAAGCGUGGGUAGCAAACAGG